GCCUUGGCCUCCCAAAGUGCUGGGAUUACAGGCAUGAGCCACGGCCCCCUUCCCCUUUCUAGUAUAGGGGUGUUACUGGCCUAGAGAAAGGCGCUUCUCUCUGGCCCGUGGUCCUGGUCCUGGUCCUGGUCCUGGUCCUAUGCGCCAUUAGCACCCAUCAGUGCUGUGGGCAGUUUGUUUCUCCUCCAACAUCUGUCCCCUCCAGGAAGCAGGGGCUGCCUAGGAGGUAGAGGCCCAUCUCUCACCUCAAGUCCCAAGGCCUGUCUCGCACAUGGCCACCUGGCAGUGGGUGCCCAGGGAGGGCUGUGGGACGAGGGAGGCAUGAACAGCUUCCACGUCAGUGUUUCUCAGGUUUCUUUGAAAGGAGAGAGGAAAACAGGUGCGUUCCUGCCCCAGUCACCUGGGGAUGGCAGACAUUGAUCAGAUUGCUCCCCAGUGAACACAUCAGCCCGCUCCAGGAUGACAAGGAAGGAGAGGAAAGGGAGAGCGUGUGCCUGGGGUCGGGGAGGACAGGAGCUGGUGCUGCAGAUGGGACCCAAGAGUGGGAAGGCUGGGGUUGAGGACUAGGGGACGGCCAACGUGGCUGGGUGGAGGGCAGGCGGGUGGGCGUGGAGAGGUUGGCAGAGUGUCAGGGCCUGGGCGGGUUUAGCCUCACCCAGAAGUCAAGAGGAAGCUGUGGAAGGAUUUGGUCAGGGUAGUAACAGAGUCAGAUUUUUAAAACACCCCCAAACCCCUGACAGCCAAGUGGGGCAGAUAGGAGGAGAGAGGAAGUCGAAUGUCAGGAAUCGAGGCGGGAGGCGGCAGCUUGGACCAGAGGGCUGGGGUGUGGGGCGCGUGGGUCUGAACGCGACUGAGGAUGGAAACGCAGCUCUGUGUGUGAACCAUGGGCCAUGGGAGUGGGGAGCGGGGAUGACACUGGACUCUGGGCCUCCACAGUUCAGAGGCGCUUGGGUGGCAUUAGAGAGAUGGAGAAGGGGGCGGCAUGAGGCUCAAAUGCCUGCUUUGGGUGUGUGAGCUCCAGAGAAGGCCAAGGCUCGUCACUGAGAGCCCCUGUGGCCAUGAGGAUCCCCCUGCUCCAACCUGCCCCCUUAUGUGAGUCGGUGGGAGGAGCUCCCCGGGGAAGGCGGCCAUGAGCUCCAGUGCCUCCUGUCAGGGGGCUUCGGGCCAGAGGACAUCUGGGUUCCAGCUGCCAGAGCCAGACCACCCUCAGACCACAGCUGGCUGGGGCAGGCUGCUCAUGGCAGGGGACAGGUGGCCCCAACAGCCUGUGUUCACAGUGGAGCCCGUGGAGUCUCACUCUCCUUUCCUGGGUCAGUGGGCUUCACAGGGCUGGUGUUUACAGCACCCCCUCCAAGGCAGGGGCAGUCCCUUGUGACUUCCCUGGUGACCACUGUCCCCAGGAUUGCCUGGCGCCUGCCUCACCCCAAGAAACCCUGGGGUGCUGCCUGCCUAAACUGGGCCUUGCGUGGAAGCCGUGCUACGUGCCCUACCACACAGUGUGUCCGCUAUCAGCUAAAGCACCUGGAGCCGCAACAGCGGUUGGUGAUUCGUCAACAUCCACAGAGGGCAGAGCGUGGAACGUGGCUUAAGGGAGCCACUGAGUGGCCACAGAGGAGUGUCCAGGAGCUCAGGGUCCACGUGGAGUCGAUGAGGACGGGCUUCAGCUCCAGCUCAGCCACUUAGCAUCUGUGAGUUCCAAGGCCUGAGCCUGAUGCCUCAUGUGUGGAAUGGGGACGCUAAUGUCCCUCCCACCUCUGGUGAGGCUCUAGGGAGAAGCUAUUGCCUUGGCCAGGGGCAGAAGCCAUGGCCUCUGAGCAGCUCAGGACAGGGACAGUGGUCGGGACAGGGACAAUCACUCACAGGGUCAGGCUCUGCCGAGCAUGCCGCGGGCUCCCAGGGCACCCCUGUUCCUGCCUGAUUCCACCUGUCUCUUGAUCCUGUGUGUGGAAUGGGGCCACAGGCCGGGGCUGCUCUCAAAGACCCCGUAUUUGUCCAUUCUUG
rnacentral:lncRNA from 10 species